rnacentral:rRNA from 1 species
AGUGAACGCUGGCGGUAGGCCUAACACAUGCAAGUCGAACGGCAGCACAGUAAGAGCUUGCUCUUACGGGUGGCGAGUGGAGGACGGGUGAGGAAUACAUCGGAAUCUACUUUUUCGUGGGGGAUAACGUAGGGAAACUUACGCUAAUACCGCAUACGACCUACGGGUGAAAGCAGGGGAUCUUCGGACCUUGCGGGAUUGAAUGAGCCGAUGUCGGAUUAGCUAGUUGGCGGGGUAAAGGCCCACCAAGGCGACGAUCCGUAGCUGGUCUGAGAGGAUGAUCAGCCACACUGGAACUGAGACACGGUCCAGACUCCUACGGGAGGCAGCAGUGGGGAAUAUUGGACAAUGGGCGCAAGCCUGAUCCAGCCAUACCGCGUGGGUGAAGAAGGCCUUCGGGUUGUAAAGCCCUUUUGUUGGGAAAGAAAAGCAGCAGGUUAAUACCCCGCUGUUCUGACGGUACCCAAAGAAUAAGCACCGGCUAACUUCGUG